rnacentral:rRNA from 1 species
UGGGGGAUAUUGCACAAUGGGCGAAAGCCUGAUGCAGCGACGCCGCGUGGGGGAUGAAGGCCUUCGGGUUGUAAACUUCUUUUGCUCUGAACAAGGCGCACCAUGGGGUGUGUUGAGUGUAGGGGUUGAUUAGCGCCGGCUAACUACGUGCCAGCAGCCGCGGUAAUACGUAGGGCGCGAGCGUUGUCCGGAAUUAUUGGGCGUAAAGGGCUUGUAGGUGGCUGGUUGCGUCUGUCGUGAAAGCUCAUGGCUUAACUGUGGGUUUGCGGUGGGUACGGGCUGUCUUGAGUGCAGUAGGGGAGGCUGGAAUUCCUGGUGUAGCGGUGGAAUGCGCAGAUAUCAGGUGGAAUACCGGUGGCGAAGGCGGGUCUCUGGGCUGUUACUGACACUGAGGAGCGAAAGCAUGGGAAGCGAACAGG